CAGCCGCCACGGUAAAACGGAGGGUGCAAGCGUUAAUCGGAAUUACUGGGCGUAAAGCGCACGCAGGCGGUCUGACAAGUCAGAUGUGAAAUCCCCGGGCUUAACCUGGGAACUGCAUUUGAAACUGUCAGGCUGGAGUCUUGUAGAGGGGGGUAGAAUUCCAGGUGUAGCGGUGAAAUGCGUAGAGAUCUGGAGGAAUACCGGUGGCGAAGGCGGCCCCCUGGACAAAGACUGACGCUCAGGUGCGAAAGCGUGGGGAGCAAACAGGAUUAGAUACCCCGGUAGUCCCUGUCUCUUAUAC
rnacentral:rRNA from 1 species